CCUACGGGAGGCAGCAGUGGGGAAUUUUGGACAAUGGGGGCAACCCUGAUCCAGCCAUGCCGCGUGAGUGAAGAAGGCCUUCGGGUUGUAAAGCUCUUUCGGCCGGAACGAAAUCGCGCACGUGAAUAACGUGCGUGGAUGACGGUACCGGAGUAAGAAGCACCGGCUAACUACGUGCCAGCAGCCGCGGUAAUACGUAGGGUGCGAGCGUUAAUCGGAAUUACUGGGCGUAAAGCGUGCGCAGGCGGUUCGCUAAGUCAGACGUGAAAGCCCCGGGCUUAACCUGGGAACGGCGUUUGAAACUGGCGGGCUCGAGUACGGCAGAGGGGGGUGGAAUUCCACGUGUAGCAGUGAAAUGCGUAGAUAUGUGGAGGAACACCGAUGGCGAAGGCAGCCCCCUGGGCCGAUACUGACGCUCAUGCACGAAAAGCGUGGGGAGCAAACAGGAUUAGAUACCCUGGUAGUCCACGCCCUAAACUAUGUCAACUAGUUGUCGGGGAAGCAAUUCCUUGGUAACGCAGCUAACGCGUGAAGUUGACCGCCUGGGGAGUACGGUCGCAAGAUUAAAACUCAAAUGAAAUUGACGG
rnacentral:rRNA from 1 species